rnacentral:misc_RNA from 1 species
GAUGAAGAACGCAGCGAAAUGCGAUAAGUAGUGUGAAUUGCAGAAUUCAGUGAAUCAUCGAAUCUUUGAACGCACAUUGCGCCCUUUGGUAUUCCAAAGGGCAUGCCUGUUCGAGCGUCAUUUGUACCCUCAAGCUUUGCUUGGUGUUGGGCGUCUUGUCUCUAGCUUUGCUGGAGACUCGCCUUAAAGUAAUUGGCAGCCGGCCUACUGGUUUCGGAGCGCAGCACAAGUCGCACUCUCUAUCAGCAAAGGUCUAGCAUCCAUUAAGCCUUUUUUUCGACUUUUGACCUCGGAUCAGGUAGGGAUACCCGCUGAACUUAAGCAUAUCAAUAAGCGGAGGA